AAAUUUAAUAAUGAAAUCCUUUUAUUGUUAUAAAUAUGUGUACAUGAAUUUACUUUUGCUAAGGAACGGUUUUUGGUGUAUUCUCCUUAUUGAAGGCAAAAAACACAUUAUUGGUGGCUUCACCCAGCAUAUUAUUGUAUAUAGUUUAAUUGUUAUGCUAAAUCAAGAUAAAAAUUGUGCUUUCAUAGACGAAGGACCUGGUACUAUAAAGGGAUACAUCUAUAAAAGGACUUUAUUUUUGCUAAGGAAGGCUUUAUGGUGUAUUCUCCUUACUGAAGACAAAAACACAUUAUUGGUGGCUUCACCCAGCAUAUUAUUGUAUAUAGUUUAAUUGGUAUGCUAAGUCAGGAUAACAAUUAUGUUUCCAUGGAUGAAGGACAUGACACUAUAAAAGGACUUUAUUUUUUCUAAGGAAGGCUUUUUGGUGCAUUCUCCUUAUUGAAGACAAAAACACAUUAUUGGUGGUUUCACCCAACAUAUUAUUGUAUAUAGUUUAAUUGUUAUGCUAAAUCAAGAUAAAAAUUGUGUUUCCAUAUAUGAAGGACCUGACACUAUAAAGGGAUACAUCUAUAA